AUGAUGGAUAUAUUUGCCCUUUUUGUGGUCCCUGAAUUUGUGCGGGCUCUAUCUACUCCUUCUGGAACUCGGUGUAUACAAGAAUACAUAACAUCGGUCCACAGACACCAUGCCUCCUCUACACUUCAGAAUCAGCUGCUUCAGCUGCAUUUUGAGACGACAGGAUCGAACCAUGUAAGAAAAACGGUGCCACAGUGUAUGCAGACCUCAAAAAAUGCUUAUGGUGUUAAGAUGGAAAAAAAGGGACAAAUCCAACCAUAUUGCGCUUCUUAUUAUGAAUGUGACAAUAUCAUCGGACAUUGCAAGGGUACUCCUCAAGAAAGACACUACUGA
rnacentral:rRNA from 1 species